UAUAUUUUAGUGUAAGAAGCACGAAAGUUUUUGAUACUUCAAGAAAUAGUUUAAUUCUAUUAAAUAUAAAAA
rnacentral:tRNA from 1 species